GUGUUCAAUAUGUAUUAAAAUUUUAGGGCCACGAAACUAGUCGAGCUAAAUUUACUUUAAUUUUGGUUAUAGCAAUUAACGUAGUAUUGUUAAUUAUUUAGGAAAACUUAGGGGUGAUAGGCCUAUCAAGUCUAGUGAUAUCUUGAUAUUUAGAAAAUAUAUAUAGUAUAUAAGUCAAUAUAAAAAUGGUGAGGUUUUUAUAUUCCACAAAUAAAGAUAAUAUUAUAAAUGGUUGUUAUAAAAAACACUAUAUACAAAACAAUAAUACUUCAUACUAAUCAAUUGUGAUAAAUACUAAAUUUACUAUAUUAAUAGGUUUAUAUUAUAAAAAUGAAUAUAUUAGUAUUUUAUUAUAUAUUUUUGAGGAACUCGGCAAUAUCAGUUCUCGACUGUUUAUCAAAAACAUAGCUUUAAGAAGUUAUUUAAAGUGCAACCUGCUCAAUGAUUAUUAAAUAGCCGCAGUACCUUGACUGUGCAAAGGUAGCAUAAUCAAUUGGCUUAUAAUUGAAGUCUAGUAUGAAAGGGACUUCGGGAAUUAACUAUCUUAAAAAUAUAUAUAGAACUUACUAUAUUAAGUGAAAAUUCUUAAGUUUGAAAAAAGACGAGAAGACCCUAGAAAUUUUUUUCAACUGUACAUAUAGAAUUUUGUUGGGGCGACAAGGUAACAAAUAACUUACCUAAUGAAUAUGGAACUAUUUAGUAGAAUAAUAAAAUUACUCUAGGGAUAACAGCAUAAUAUUAUAAAGAUUGUGACCUCGAUGUUGGACUAGGGAAUAUAAUACUUAAAAGGUACUAUAUGCGGCUCUGUUCGAGCUAUUUUCCCCUACAUGAUCUGAGUUCAGACCGG
rnacentral:rRNA from 1 species